AUUGAACGCUGGCGGCAGGCCUAACACAUGCAAGUCGAGCGGGAACUUCGGUUCUAGCGGCGGACGGGUGAGUAAUGCGUAGGAAGCUACCCGACAGAGGGGGAUACCAGUUGGAAACGACUGUUAAUACCGCAUAAUGUCUACGGACCAAAGUGUGGGACCUUCGGGCCACAUGCUAUCGGAUGCGCCUACGUGGGAUUAGCUAGUUGGUGAGGUAAUGGCUCACCAAGGCGACGAUCCCUAGCUGGUUUGAGAGGAUGAUCAGCCACACUGGAACUGAGACACGGUCCAGACUCCUACGGGAGGCAGCAGUGGGGAAUAUUGGACAAUGGGCGCAGGCCUGAUCCAGCCAUGCCGCGUGUGUGAAGAAGGCCUUCGGGUUGUAAAGCACUUUCAGUAGGGAGGAAGAGUUGAGUGUUAAUAGUACUCAGCUUUGACGUUACCUACAGAAGAAGCACCGGCUAACUCUGUGCCAGCAGCCGCCGCGGUAA
rnacentral:rRNA from 1 species